GACGAACGCUGGCGGCGUGCUUAACACAUGCAAGUCGAACGGAAAGGCCUGCUUUUCCUUGUGGAUUGCGGGUACUCGGGUGGCGAACGGGUGAGUAACAAGUGAGUGUUCUGCCCCCAACUUGGGUAUAAGCCUGGGAAACUGGGUCUAAUUCCCGAUAGGACUGCAGGGUUGUGCCUGUGGUGGAAGACGAUCUUCUAGUGGUUGGGGAUGAGCUCGCGGCCUAUCAGCUUGUUGGUGGGGUAAUGGCCUACCAAGGCGGCGACUGGUAGCCGGCCUGGGAGGGUGGACGGUGACAGUGGGACAGGGAUACGGCCCAGACGCCAGCGGGCGGCAGCAGUUGGGAAGAUGUGAGAAUGGGCGGAAGCCUGAUGCAGCGACGCCGCGAGGAGGAUGACGGCCUUCGGGUUGUAAGCUCCUUUCGACCGAGAGGAGGCCACGUGGUUGGAAGGGUGGUGACGGUAGUGGUAGAAGAAGCACCGGCUAACUACGUG
rnacentral:rRNA from 1 species